AAAGAUUCUCUGUCUGGAAGACUAGUGAUUUAGUUGUUUUUAGUUACAAACAGCAAGUCACUAGACUUUCCUUAUGGAGUUUCUUU
rnacentral:pre_miRNA from 1 species